AGCGUACACGGUGGAUGCCCUGGCAGUCAGAGGCGAUGAAGGACGUGCUAAUCUGCGAAAAGCGCCGGCGAGGUGAUAUGAACCCUUGACCCGGCGAUGUCCGAAUGGGGAAACCCAGUGCAAUCCGUUGCACUAUCGUUAACUGAAUACAUAGGUUAACGAGGCGAACCGGGGGAACUGAAACAUCUAAGUACCCCGAGGAAAAGAAAUCAACCGAGAUUCCCCCAGUAGCGGCGAGCGAACGGGGAGCAGCCCGGAGUCUGAAUCAGCUUGUGUGUUAGUGGAACGGUCUGGAAAGUCCGACGGUACAGGGUGAUAGUCCCGUACACGAAAGCACACUUGCUGUGAACUCGAAGAGUAGGGCGGGACACGUGGUAUCCUGUCUGAAUAUGGGGGGACCAUCCUCCAAGGCUAAAUACUCCUGACUGACCGAUAGUGAACCAGUACCGUGAGGGAAAGGCGAAAAGAACCCCGGCGAGGGGAGUGAAAAAGAACCUGAAACCGUGUACGUACAAGCAGUGGGAGCCUCUUUAUGGGGUGACUGCGUACCUUUUGUAUAAUGGGUCAGCGACUUAUAUUCUGUAGCAAGGUUAACCGUAUAGGGGAGCCGAAGGGAAACCGAGUCUUAACUGGGCGUUAAGUUGCAGGGUAUAGACCCGAAACCCGGUGAUCUAGCCAUGGGCAGGUUGAAGGUUGGGUAACACUAACUGGAGGACCGAACCGACUAAUGUUGAAAAAUUAGCGGAUGACCUGUGGCUGGGGGUGAAAGGCCAAUCAAACCGGGAGAUAGCUGGUUCUCCCCGAAAGCUAUUUAGGUAGCGCCUCGUGAACUCAUCUUCGGGGGUAGAGCACUGUUUCGGCUAGGGGGCCAUCCCGGCUUACCAACCCGAUGCAAACUACGAAUACCGAAGAAUGUUAUCACGGGAGACACACGGCGGGUGCUAACGUCCGUCGUGAAGAGGGAAACAACCCAGACCGCCAGCUAAGGUCCCAAAGUCAUGGUUAAGUGGGAAACGAUGUGGGAAGGCACAGACAGCCAGGAUGUUGGCUUAGAAGCAGCCAUCAUUUAAAGAAAGCGUAAUAGCUCACUGGUCGAGUCGGCCUGCGCGGAAGAUGUAACGGGGCUAAACCAUGCACCGAAGCUGCGGCAGCGACACUAUGUGUUGUUGGGUAGGGGAGCGUUCUGUAAGCCGUUGAAGGUGUGCUGUGAGGCAUGCUGGAGGUAUCAGAAGUGCGAAUGCUGACAUAAGUAACGAUAAAGCGGGUGAAAAGCCCGCUCGCCGGAAGACCAAGGGUUCCUGUCCAACGUUAAUCGGGGCAGGGUGAGUCGACCCCUAAGGCGAGGCCGAAAGGCGUAGUCGAUGGGAAACAGGUUAAUAUUCCUGUACUUGGUGUUACUGCGAAGGGGGGACGGAGAAGGCUAUGUCAGCCGGGCGACGGUUGUCCCGGUUUAAGCAUGUAGGCGGAGGUUCCAGGUAAAUCCGGUACCUUAUUAACGCUGAGGUGUGAUGACGAGGCACUACGGUGCUGAAGUGAUAAAUGCCCUGCUUCCAGGAAAAGCCUCUAAGCAUCAGGUAACACGAAAUCGUACCCCAAACCGACACAGGUGGUCAGGUAGAGAAUACCAAGGCGCUUGAGAGAACUCGGGUGAAGGAACUAGGCAAAAUGGUGCCGUAACUUCGGGAGAAGGCACGCUGAUGUGUAGGUGAAGCCCCUGCGGGCGGAGCUGAAAUCAGUCGAAGAUACCAGCUGGCUGCAACUGUUUAUUAAAAACACAGCACUGUGCAAACACGAAAGUGGACGUAUACGGUGUGACGCCUGCCCGGUGCCGGAAGGUUAAUUGAUGGGGUUAGCGGCAACGCGAAGCUCUUGAUCGAAGCCCCGGUAAACGGCGGCCGUAACUAUAACGGUCCUAAGGUAGCGAAAUUCCUUGUCGGGUAAGUUCCGACCUGCACGAAUGGCGUAAUGAUGGCCAGGCUGUCUCCACCCGAGACUCAGUGAAAUUGAACUCGCUGUGAAGAUGCAGUGUACCCGCGGCAAGACGGAAAGACCCCGUGAACCUUUACUAUAGCUUGACACUGAACACUGGUCCUUGAUGUGUAGGAUAGGUGGGAGGCUUUGAAGCGUGGACGCCAGUCUGCGUGGAGCCAACCUUGAAAUACCACCCUUUAAUGGCUGGUGUUCUAACGUAGACCCGUNGACCCGUAAUCCGGGUUGCGGACAGUGUCUGGUGGGUAGUUUGACUGGGGCGGUCUCCUCCCAAAGAGUAACGGAGGAGCACGAAGGUUGGCUAAUCCUGGUCGGACAUCAGGAGGUUAGUGCAAUGGCAUAAGCCAGCUUGACUGCGAGCGUGACGGCGCGAGCAGGUGCGAAAGCAGGUCAUAGUGAUCCGGUGGUUCUGAAUGGAAGGGCCAUCGCUCAACGGAUAAAAGGUACUCCGGGGAUAACAGGCUGAUACCGCCCAAGAGUUCAUAUCGACGGCGGUGUUUGGCACCUCGAUGUCGGCUCAUCACAUCCUGGGGCUGAAGUAGGUCCCAAGGGUAUGGCUGUUCGCCAUUUAAAGUGGUACGCGAGCUGGGUUUAGAACGUCGUGAGACAGUUCGGUCCCUAUCUGCCGUGGGCGCUGGAGAAUUGAGGGGGGCUGCUCCUAGUACGAGAGGACCGGAGUGGACGCAUCACUGGUGUUCGGGUUGUCAUGCCAAUGGCACUGCCCGGUAGCUAAAUGCGGAAGAGAUAAGUGCUGAAAGCAUCUAAGCACGAAACUUGCCCCGAGAUGAGUUCU
rnacentral:rRNA from 1 species